rnacentral:rRNA from 1 species
GUGGAAAUUGCUUCAGUUAACGGGCGAGUGAAGCGGCAAAAGCUCAAAUUUGAAAUCCCCUCGGGGAGUUGUAAUUUGAAGGUUGGGUGCUCGGCGCGGCCGCAUUUCAAGUCCAUUGGAACAUGGCGCCUUGGAGGGUGAGAGCCCCGUACAAGUGCGUGCCGCAGCCUCUACAGUGCUCUUCCGACGAGUCGAGUUGUUUGGGAAUGCAGCUCUAAGUGGGUGGUAAAUUCCAUCUAAAGUUAAAUAUUGGCGAGAGACCGAUAGCUGAACAAGUACAGUGAUGGAAAGAUGAAAAGCACUUUGAAAAGAGAGUGAAACAGUACGUGAAAUUGUUGAAAGGGAAGGGCUUGCAAGCAGACACGGGUUCGCCCGGGCCAGCAUCGGUUGAUCGGGGCAGACAAGACGCGCAGGAAUGUGGCAGCCUAGCUGUGUUAUAGCCUGUGCGGGAUGUGUCCACCUUCGACCGAGGCUUGCGUCUUUGUAAUUAGGAUGUUGGCUUAUUG